UAGGCCAGGCAGUCGGCUUCCGGUGCUUAUGCACUGAGGAACGUCCGCCCACCUUACAAGGCCACCCUGACAACAGGGAGGGGGAGACCCCUGGCAACCGCUCAGAAACGACAUGCCUCUUCCUUAAGGGAUGAUGGAUGCGACUGCCCCGGCAACGCGGGCAAAGCUAACCUCCUGACGUCGGGAAGAGAAUCAGUGAAACGGCGAGCCCUGGCUGGUGCAAGCUCUUUUGAGCGCUCAGUAGAAUGCCGGCACGAGACCACUCAUUGUUCGUCCAAUGAGGUCCACACAGAAGGCGGCGUAUGCCUGGGCUA
rnacentral:RNase_P_RNA from 1 species